AAAAAAAAACUGCAAUUACCAUCACUGUGGCGUGCUUUAGUGUACCAUUGAAAUCGGCCGUGAAUAACUUUACUUCUACCUGAUUUGAGAGUUUGGACGAGAAUAUCAAUCUUUUCACAACCUCAAGCAGAGUUCAAGUAGGGUGAUAAUCAAAAGCUUGAUUCGUCUCUUCCAUCUCAUUAGAGGGCUUUGCUCGUCAAUCUUUAUCUUUAAUAAUCGGCUUCUGGCACUCUCCCUAAGCUUCUUGGAGCAGUUUUUUAGUGUAAGCCCCUUCAAACUGGAAAGUUGGCAAUACAUUCUGGUAUGGCCUUGAGGUCUUCACAUUUGGCUAUUGGGAGUGUCUCCAAGGAGGACAUGCUUCAAUCUGGGGAAUGCUUGCUUCUUUUGGACCGUGUCGGUAUCGUCGUCGGUAUCGAGGAAGCUGAGGUCUUCGUCGAGGUCGUCGGAGUCAGUGGUGGCGGUGGUGAGAGAGAGGAGGAGGAAGAGGGUGAGGAUAAGUCGAGUCGGCAUUGUUGAAGAUGGGAGUGAUCUGAGGUUGGGAAAUGUGAAAGGAGCGAAAAUGUAGGGAGUGAAGUGUUCAAGUGAGUGAAAUAGGGUUUAAGAAGAGAGAAAUAAAGUCAGGAAUUUUAGAAUUACUUAUUUAAUUUAAGAUUAACUGAGAAAGAAAAUUUUCAUUAACGAAAUUUCACACUUUAUUUGAUUGUCACUUUUUGUUUUGUUUUUUUUUUUUCCACUGAACAAACCCUACACUAAUUCUUUUAUUUAUAAACGCGUAAUAUCUCCUCCUCAACUUAACUUUAAUCAUGGUCUUAAAAGUGUUUUUUUUUUUUUUUUGUUGCAAUUUUUCUCUCUUUUUUCAAAUUCACUACAUAUGUAAAGUCAAUUUUUCUCUCUUGUUCCUAGACUUCCUACUCCCCCUUCCCUCUAACUCUUGUUUUAUUGGUAGAACAAUUCAACAUAAAGAUAUUUCUUAGCAAGCAAACUUAUGUUUUUAGUUAACUUUAUGUCAAUUUUGACCAAAAAUUAAACUCUUAACCGCCAAUAAGAUUCCCAAAAUUUUUACCGGAAAAGUUAUUCGACAUGUAAUCACAAUGUUUUUUGAACAUGUAAAUCGAGAGAUAAGUAAUAACCGAGGGAUAUAUACAAACACAUUACUCAACAAUAAGGAGAACAAAAUACUUGGUGAUUCACAAAGUUGUGUUCAAAAUGAUUUUCAAAAAUCUAAACCUAGAGAUAGUUAAUCUAAUAAUUAAACAGAGUACUCAAUUAGUUACUCUCGGAAGAUCACCAUACUUCAUACUAAUAAACUAAAGCCCGAUACCAGAGGAAAGGAAAAAAAAAACACAAAAGAGAAAUUGGAGAGCUUUGAAUAUCAUAGAGAAUCACUUGGGAAUUUCCCAACAACAAAAUUGAGUACAAUUAUUGUUAUAUUAAACAAAUACAUAAGAGGGAUAACAGAGCCUAUAAACUAUUUGAUCAUAUGCUUGAA